rnacentral:tRNA from 1 species
GCCGCGGUGGUGGAAUGGUAGACACGAGGGACUUAAAAUCCCUUGAAGGAAACUUCGUGCGGGUUCGACUCCCGCCCGCGGCA